GUUGACAGGCCAACAACAACAACUGAUGGUUGCUAUAUCAUAUUAUAUAAAUAUAUAUAUAGCAACAUGUAGAUUUUAGCAGAUAUAUAUUUAAAUGUUCGACAGAUAUCCUAUAAAACAAAAUACUCACUUUAAUUAUCAAUGGGUUUAAAAAGAAAAGAUUUUGAGAAAGCUGCUUCAUUUCUCAACGAGUUUCUAUUAAAGCUUAGUGAAGAUGUGGAAUGUGCUGAGUUACGAGACUCUCUUACACUGGCACUGUUACAUAUGCAGAAAUACUACCGCAUCUUACAGUGUCGUAGCCAAGAAAAAAAUGCAUAUCAAGCAAAUAUGCUGCCUCUAUCUGCAAGAAGUCUCAGUCCAAUGACACCAUUUAUUGAUGCCCCAGAUAAGUUUUUAUGGAAAUGGACAAACUUGGAAAGUACAAAACUCCGAAACUCUAUGUCAUAUAUACUACCAAAUAUUAUUCAAGCCACAAAAGAAGGAGACAUUGAGAAAAUUCUAGAAAUAGUUAUGCAAGAUCCAACUUUAGUGAAUGAAACUGACUGUUUGGGCAGGACUCCAUUGAUGUAUGCUAUUCACUAUAAUCAGCUGGAAGCUUUGAAAUGCCUUCUAGAAAAAAAUGCUGAUGUCAAUAUAUCAGCUCAUGAUGGUUCAACUGCUGUCCACAAAGCUUGUUAUGACAGCAACUGCAAAGCUUUAGAAUUCAUAAUCCACCAGAGGGGCGACAUACACUGUCAAGACACGCAGCUGCGAUCUCCGAUCCACUGGGCUGUUGCAACACCAUCGACUGAUUGUCUGAAGCUUCUUCUGCCCCUUAACGUUAAUGUAUCAUCUCGAGACAAAGAUGGACUGUCACCGAGUAUGUGGGCCUGUCGCCUUGACCACAUUGACCACUUUGAACUGUUAUGUAAAGCCAACCAAUGGCAGAAUGAUGAAGAAGUUGAAACUGAUGACAGUGGACGUACAUGGCUUCACUGGGCAGUCCGCAGAACAGAACCCCUUGAAUGUUUGCAGACCUUACUCACCAAAGACUCUGCGGCAUUGAGAGACAAAGAGGGAAAAACUGUUAUUUUAGUUGCAGCUGAACUGGGUUCUUACCCAGCAUGCAAGUUGAUUGUUGAGUUAGCAGGUCAGAGUGUUGUCCAUGACCAAGAUAACUGCGAAAGGACAGCAUUGCAUUUGGCCACCCUCGGUGGACAUGGUAAUGUCUUGAAUUUUCUCUUAGAAAAUGGAGCCAACAUUGAAGUCCGCGACCAGUUCCAGGCAACUGCGUGGGAUUACGCCAGUAACAAACAGCUGCACUAUUGUCAAUUGAUCAUUAAGUCUCACAUGCAUCAGUCACUCCAGGUCGGACUCAGAGCAUCCAACAGUAACAACUUGUGGCAGAAGAAUCCAGGUAAUCGCCUCAACGACCAGUUAUUGACUAUCAACGAACAGAUGCAUUGUAACACCAAUAAUAACAACAACGUCAAUACCAUCACCACCACUGCCAUUACUGCUACCACAACUUCCCCCAUUGCCACAACUACUACUACCACCACCACCACCAAUGUUGGCAAUGUUAUUAAAACUAAUCACCAAAAUACGAUGAGACACGACUCUAGAAGAAGCACUGAGUGUAGUAGUGAUGAGGGGGGCAUUGAGAACAACAACAACAACAACAACAGCCAACAUGUUGUAAUGAACAAUAACAACAAUAACUACAGCAAUACGAUUAGAAGAGGCUUAAGAAACAGAAGUGCCUCCUUUCAACACAGAGGAGAAAGCAAUGUGCCGUCAAAGCUUGAAAAUGAAAGAUCUCCACAGUCUGUGAUCUGUCCACCAAAGAAACCAAGAAACCAACACUUUUUAACAGCUGGCAACAUUCAGCAGUUCAAUCCACAUAGUUCCAUAUCACCUCCUUUGACCAACACUGAUAAUGUUUCAGAUGAGAUUGUCAGAGAUGAAGAAACAGCAAGCAGAUUGGCAAUGCAUCAUAAAGAUGAAACUAGAGAAAAUCAAGAAUCACUUGAAAAUAAAGAACAACAACCAAACAGACCAGAUUCCCCAGUCUUGUCAAACACUAAUGAAGAACAGGAAUCUGUAACGGAAGAAUUAGAUUUAGCCAGGAAUGAAGAUGUCAGCCCUGAUUUGAUGCCAACCCAGUGGGAAUCGGAGAGCUUAAAGACAUCCAUGUCCCAGCCCUGCCCUCCUCCUGGCUCUCCUACAAAGCAGAGAUACAUAUCAGCCUCACUGCAUGGCCAAGCAAGGAAUACACUGGGGGCUAACAAAGAAAAUAUGGUGAAAAAUUAUAAUUUGACUAAUGAAGCCCUCAAUUAUCCAAGUACAGUUCAACCUCCAAUUUUAGAUUCACAGAAAUCUCCCCAGAAUUCAGUUUUGCAUUCAAGAUCUUUGUUCCAUAGAAAUCAGCAACCACCAUCAACACCACCACCACCACCACCACCACAAAUGACAAUUCCAUUUAACAGUGUUGCUGCUUCCUUUCCAGCACCUCUAAGAAAUCUGAAAAAAGAAUCUUCAUUUAACAAUCAUUCCAAUAAAAUUAGAAGUGAUGAGUUAGCUGAUGAUAGCUCAGCAGAACAAUUGGUUCCCAGGGCUAAAAUGGCACCAGUUAAUGUACUGCACCAAAAACCACCAUUGAGGUCUGCUCUUGUAGCCAGAAACAACAUUCCUCAGCCUGGAAUGAAUUCAGAAAGUAAUUCCAACAACAACAACAAUAUCAACAAACCUUGGUCACCUAAACAUCCACCUCAAAGAAGUAUAACUGCUUUAAACAACUCCAGGAAAAUGAUGGAUCCCAAAGGAUCACAGAAUAUUCAUGGAGCUUCAAUAUCAUCCCUUUCAAAAGACUUUCUACAGUUGAAUAGGUCAAAUUCUUCAAAUCUCACACAGAAUACAGGUUGGUAUAUACAACUAUUUUGUUAACAUUUUCACAUUCUUAACCCUUUCUCAAUGAAAUUAAAUGUCAUGGUUAUUCCAGGAAUGAUAUUAAAUUUCUACCCAAAAAUAGAAGAGACACAAGAGUGGAAAUUCAAGGGAAAGUGUUAGUCAAUUACUUCAACCCCAGUAUUUGGAUGGUAUUUUAACGACUCUGGGGAGACAAAGAGCAAAGUUAGCCUUGGCACGAUUUGAACUCAGAACAUCAAAAGCCAGAAGACAUUUUGUUCACUACUCUAUCAAUUCUGCUAAUCCACUGCCAGGGCUGGCCCUAGGGUUGCUGGUGCCCCAGCACCCUUACAAGUAUAAUUUUAAAAAACUUUCACAAGGAGAAAACCUGAAAAUGUAGACUAAAAAGUACAUGGUGCCCCGGGCGACUGCUCGAGUUGCUGGUGCCUUGAGCCAGCCCUGUCCACUGCCCUUCUACAAAUAAAUGAUUUUCAAGUGAUAUCACCUUUUAUUCUCUCAUCAUUUACUUGGUUUCAAAUGGAAUGGUCAAACAGGUAGGAUGCUAUUUUGUGGGGGAAUGAAAUGAAACCAGUUUGUCUUUGACCUACUGCUCUCUCACUAUCCCCUAAAUAAAAAGUACUUGACCAGAGAGAAGAUAAGUGAGAGGGACCACUUCUGUAGUUGCCAUAGUAACAAUAGGAAACCAGAUUAACUGGGUGUUGUUUACAUAAUUUAAAGUUUGUUUAAACAAUAUCAUACAA
rnacentral:misc_RNA from 1 species